UCUGGCUGCUCCUUCGCGGAGCUCCCAGAUGACAUCAGGAGGUCCCCGAUGAACUGGUGCAUCUCCAUCCAAUUGCUAUGGUCAAGCUGGAUGGUGCAGCACGGAAUGAAAUGAGUGACACUAACUAGCUUCUUGCUAUGACCACCGACACAUCGCUAUCAUCAGAAUCGCUCUCCACCGGUUGCUGUUUGGGCGUUUUUUUGCCACCACCUUCCACGGGGGUCUCCACACCACCAGCCUUUUGUCCACUUUGUGAUAAUUGGAGCUGUUGACCUGGUGAUGCCUGGAGAAUAGUACCUGCCUGGAGUUCAGGUGAAGUACAGGCCUGCUUGGAUGACUGCCCUUUUACCAGCGGGCUUCCUCUCGGCGGGUCAGGGGUCGUCAAAGCUGGAGAGGGGCAUGGUGACUGCGAGUCGUCACAUGACGUGGAGAGGCUUUCCUGACGCUGGAGGAUGUCGGGAAAGCCUAAUUCUGUUAGUUGGAUGUCAAUUGUGUACUGUACGGACAUUGUGGCAGCCGGGGUUUAAUUUGGUGGAAAAUAACUGGGCUCGCGUGUGUACUCACUUCAGGUACUGCUAUCGGCUACAACGCCCGGGCACUCCCAACAAAAGACUCCUUGACUUGAGGCAACUUCAAGCUAGUCUCUUCUUGAAAUG